AUUGAACGCUGGCGGCAGGCCUAACACAUGCAAGUCGAGCGAGCGGCGGACGGGUGAGUAAUGUCUGGGAAACUGCCUGAUGGAGGGGGAUAACUACUGGAAACGGUAGCUAAUACCGCAUACCAUCAGAUGUGCCGAGAUGGGAUUAGCUAGUGGGUGGGGUAAUGGGUCACCUAGGCGACGAUCCCUAGCUGGUCUGAGAGGAUGACCAGCCACACUGGAACUGAGACACGGUCCAGACUCCUACGGGAGGCAGCAGUGGGGAAUAUUGGGCAAUGGGCGCAAGCCUGAUGCAGCCAUGCCGCGUGUGUGAAGAAGGCCUUCGGGUUGUAAAGCACUGUCAGCGAGGAAGCGUUACCCAAAGAAGAAGCACCGGCUAACUCCGUGCCAGCAGCCGCGGUAAUAC
rnacentral:rRNA from 1 species